ensembl:lncRNA
AUAAUGUCUGGUACUGGGGACAUGUUUAUUGGGCUUGGCCACAUUUUUUCACAAGACAACUCUUGCUCAAUGUGAACCACCCAUGUACUUUUUUUUUUCCCAUACGGGGGCGUGAUCUGUACCUUUUACAUAUAAAUACCUGCACUGAAUGGAUCAAACAGCAAAACUUAGACAACGAGUUUGUUAUCCUGCAGUGCCAUAUCCCGCCGUGAUCUCUUUAAACAUGAGUGACAGUAGGCCAUUAAGGAUGUGCCAAAGGGGCCCGACUCCGAAGUGAAGAAGGGGAAGGACAAGGAC